UCGAGAAUUUUUCACAAUGGGCGCAAGCCUGAUGGAGCGACGCCGCGUGGGGGAUGAAUGGCUUCGGCCCGUAAACCCCUGUCAUUCGCGAUCAAGGCGUUCGACCUAAUACGUCGAAUGUUGAUAGUAGCGGAAGAGGAAGGGACGGCUAACUCUGUGCCAGCAGCCGCGGUAAUACAGAGGUCCCGAGCGUUGUUCGGAUUCACUGGGCGUAAAGGGUGCGUAGGCGGCCGGAUCAGUCCGACGUGAAAGCCCGCAGCUCAACUGCGGAACGGCGUCGGAUACUAUUCGGCUGGAGGAUGGGAAGGGGGACUGGAAUGCUCGGUGUAGCAGUGAAAUGCGUAGAGAUCGAGCGGAACACCUGUGGCGAAGGCGAGUCCCUGGACCAUUCCUGACGCUG
rnacentral:rRNA from 1 species